UUAACUACUGAUAGAUAUAAAUUUUGCUAUUAUCUAAUUAUUAAUGAGUAUGUUUGAAAAAAUUUAUUUUACACGUUUUUAAUGUUAGGAAGGAAUAGCUGAAAAGGUAAACCAGAAUUUUUGUUAAUACAGUAUUUAAAUUAGCAGAAUUUAUUUCCUAAAAGUAAACAAAACUGUUUUGUUAGAUAUACUCUAGUUUAUAUUGUAUAUUAUUGACUAAUGAUGCUAUUUAAUUUAAACAUGAAAUAAAAAGGAAUCAAAAAAUGCUGAAGAGCAUACUGAGACCAAAAAGGAAAAAGCGGAAGAAAAAGCCAAAAAAAAAUAAGAAUAUAAUUCAACUAUGAACUGGUGGCUUAUUAGGAAACUUAUGAGUCGUCGUCUGUUCGUAGUUGAAAGUAAAAAGAAAAAGGAAAAUUGAUUAUUGGUUGUAAUGUUUAAAUUCCUUGGAUAAAUAAAAAUAUUUAGCAAAUUA